GGAUUGGGAUAUUCCGACUCCUUAAGGGCCUGGCGCACAUAAGGUGUGACCUUUUCAUUCCCGUUGUUAUGGAGGUAGGCUCUCUAGGAAUCUGGGAGUAGUAGCUGGGGGGCAAGAGCAAAUAAAGAGCUCGAGCUUCUGUGGUCUCUGGGGAGAUGUUCCCGGGAAGCCUGUCUAGAGGGCGGAGGGCAGCUGUUGAGAUGGCGUGGCUCCCCGGCUCCUGCGCCCGCGUGGCUUUCGCGGCGGGCGCUGCGGCCCGGUAUUGGACAGCCUGGCAGGGCAGCGCGGGGCCGAAUCCGGCUGCCGUGGCUGAGGCUCAUGGAUCACUCUUUUGUGGUAGGGCCACAUCUGCCAGAGCCUGGAGUCUGCGAAGGCCGGGACCCGGUUCCCCGGCCCACAGUGGGGGUGUGCAAACCCGAGAGAACUGGAUUGCGUACCCACUGCAGAGUGCUGAAGACGGGGUAGCCACGAGGUUGCAAAUUCGUGAAGAAUCAGCAUCAUGUUUGGCAGCUGAGUAUUGGAGCCAGGAGCCUGCCAUGAGGUUUUGAGAACAGAGUGCUGUUUUAGAGCUGGCAGCAGCAUCUCAGCCCAAGAGAAGGUUAUAUUCCCAGAGGAUGUCAGUCCCAAGGACCAGUAGCUGCCAUCAGUUUGGAUUCUGAAAACUAACUGGCAUCAACACUGGGUGUAGAAACAUGCUUGCCUUAUGUAUCAGAGGACAUGCUCAGCAGAUCCAAGAGAUAUAUUUGGCAACUUUUUCUAGAAAAGGCACAUUGGGUAUCAUUCAUUACAUUCUUGAGUUUUUUUGGGUUUUUUUUUUUUUUUUUGAGACAGUCUUGCUGUAUUGCCCAGGCUGGAGUGUGGUGGCACAAUCACAGCUCAUUGCAUCCUCAAUCACCCAGGCCUAAGCAAUCCUCCCACCUUGUAGCUGGGACUACAGCUCACAGCACACCUGGCUAAAAUUUUUUUUUUGUUGAGACGGAUUCUCUAUGUUGCCCAGGCUGGUCUCAGGCUCCUGGGCUCAGAUGGUCCUCCUGCCUCAGCUUCCAAAGGCACAGGCCAAGUUGUAGCUUUGUCCCUUGCCAUCAUGCCCAACAAGAGGUUCUAUACCUUUUAAUGAAUUGACUUUCAUAAAUUGGUUAUGUUGGUGGGCAAAGUUCUUUAAGCUGGAAAUUGUAAAUUCCUCCUGAAAUGUUUUUUCAUGCAGUUACCAUGAACUAAUACUACAAUAAAGGAUGGUCUUGGGUGUCAAUUCUUGAAAA
rnacentral:lncRNA from 1 species